rnacentral:rRNA from 1 species
GCUCAUUAAAUCAGUUAUCGUUUAUUUGAUAGUACCUUACUACUUGGAUAACCGUGGUAAUUCUAGAGCUAAUACAUGCUAAAAACCCCAACUUCGGGAGGGGUGUAUUUAUUAGAUAAAAAACCAAUGCCCUUCGGGGCUCCUUGGUGAUUCAUGAUAACUUCUCAGAUCGCAUGGCUUUACGCCGGCGACGGUUCAUUCAAAUUUCUGCCCUAUCAACUUUCGAUGGUAAGGUAGUGGCUUACCAUGGUUUCAACGGGUAACGGGGAAUUAGGGUUCGAUUCCGGAGAGGGAGCCUGAGAAACGGCUACCACAUCCAAGGAAGGCAGCAGGCGCGCAAAUUACCCAAUUCCGAUACGGAGAGGUAGUGACAAUAAAUACUGAUACAGGGCUCUUUUGGGUCUUGUAAUUGGAAUGAGUACAAUUUAAACCUCUUAACGAGGAACAAUUGGAGGGCAAGUCUGGUGCCAGCAGCCGCGGUAAUUCCAGCUCCAAUAGCGUAUAUUAAAGUUGUUGCAGUUAAAAAGCUCGUAGUUGAACCUUUGGCCUGGCUGGCAGGUCCGCCUCACCGCGUGCACUUGUCCGGCCGGGCCUUUUCUUCUGGAGAACCGCAUGCCCUUCACUGGGUGUGUUGGGGACCAGGACUUUUACUUUGAAAAAAUUAGAGUGUUCAAAGCAGGCCUUUGCUCGAAUACGUUAGCAUGGAAUAAUAGAAUAGGACGUGCGGUCCUAUUUUGUUGGUUUCUAGGACCGCCGUAAUGAUUAAUAGGGACAGUCGGGGGCAUCAGUAUUCAAUUGUCAGAGGUGAAAUUCUUGGAUUUAUUGAAGACUAACUACUGCGAAAGCAUUUGCCAAGGAUGUUUUCAUUAAUCAGUGAACGAAAGUUAGGGGAUCGAAGACGAUCAGAUACCGUCGUAGUCUUAACCAUAAACUAUGCCGACUAGGGAUCGG